rnacentral:rRNA from 1 species
AGUGAAUGCUGGCGGUAGGCCUAACACAUGCAAGUCGAACGGCAGCACAGUAAGAGCUUGCUCUUACGGGUGGCGAGUGGCGGACGGGUGAGGAAUACAUCGGAAUCUACUUUUUCGUGGGGGAUAACGUAGGGAAACUUACGCUAAUACCGCAUACGACCUACGGGUGAAAGCAGGGGAUCUUCGGACCUUGCGCGAUUGAAUGAGCCGAUGUCGGAUUAGCUAGUUGGCGGGGUAAAGGCCCACCAAGGCGACGAUUCGUAGCUGGUCUGAGAGGAUGAUCAGCCACACUGGAACUGAGACACGGUCCAGACUCCUACGGGAGGCAGCAGUGGGGAAUAUUGGACAAUGGGCGCAAGCCUGAUCCAGCCAUACCGCGUGGGUGAAGAAGGCCUUCGGGUUGUAAAGCCCUUUUGUUGGGAAAGAAAAGCAGCAGGUUAAUACCCCGCUGUUCUGACGGUACCCAAAGAAUAAGCACCGGCUAACUUCGUG